AUUGCAUUGCCCAAUAUCACCCCGGCCUGCCACACCCCCAUCCUGUGCCUAUAAACUGCCCUCAGACCUUAGCAGGCAGGCACACAAGCUGCUGGACCUGCAGAGGAGCCUAUCUGCAAACCCAGACAUCUGGACGUGGAGAGGAGCGAAUUGGUGGAGGAACACACAGGUGGCUGGAUGUUAAGAGAAGCACAUCAGCAGGCCCUGGGAUGCGGGCAGGCCACGGACCAGCAGAAGGAGAGGCUGAGUUUGGCUGGGACAGUCAGAGGAGAGCCCGGGCCAGGGAGCAGCCUGACUCCAAGGAAAAAACCAUCUCCCUUCUGGCUCCCCCGUAUGCUGAGAGCUACUUCCAGUCAAUAAAACUUUGAACUCAUUCUCCAAGACCACGUGUGAUCCGAUUCUUCCAGUACACCAAGAACCUGAAGCAGUGUUAAGGUGUGCUUCCCCUGGAGUUGAACUUUCCAAAUCAAUGUGGCAGCUGAUGGAAGAAAGGCAGUGUCUGAGCUUUAGAAGCCUGAGGAUGUGAAGAAAGCAGAAAACUGUAUACCUGUCCCUGGCACAAUAUCUCAGCCCUCCACAAACUCAGGAAGAGAAUCAUCCUUGGCAAUAAAGGGAUACAUUAAUCUCUGGCAAAAAUUAUUACUUUUUUGCAGUAAAUAAAAGCUAAGUGUUUCCAAUUAAAAUUUAAAUUAAGAAGAAA
rnacentral:lncRNA from 1 species